GCAGGUGAAUGUAACGCCAAGCGAUGGGCGUUGCGCUCCAUAUUGUCUUACUUAUUUUUUGAAUUAUUGCAUAGCACAUUUAAUUCGAUACGCCGGCGUAAAGUCGGCUUUU
rnacentral:sRNA from 1 species